rnacentral:rRNA from 1 species
UACGUAGGGUGCAAGCGUUAUCCGGAAUUAUUGGGCGUAAAGGGCGCGUAGGCGGCCAUCUAAGUCAGACGUGAAAUCCCCCGGCUCAACCUGGGAACUGCGUCUGAUACUGGAAGGCUAGAGUUUGGGAGAGGGAUGUAGAAUUCCAGGUGUAGCGGUGAAAUGCGUAGAUAUCAGGAGGAACACCGGUGGCGAAGGCGGGUCUCUGGGCCGAUACUGACGCUGAGGAGCGAAAGCGUGGGGAGCGAACAGG